UACGGGGGGGGCAAGCGUUGUUCGGAAUUACUGGGCGUAAAGGGCUCGUAGGUGGCCAACUAAGUCAGACGUGAAAUCCCUCGGCUUAACCGGGGAACUGCGUCUGAUACUGGAUGGCUCGAGUUCGGGAGAGGGAUGCGGAAUUCCAGGUGUAGCGGUGAAAUGCGUAGAUAUCUGGAGGAACACCGGUGGCGAAGGCGGCAUCCUGGACCAAUACUGACACUGAGGAGCGAAAGCCAGGGGAGCAAACGGG
rnacentral:rRNA from 1 species